rnacentral:tRNA from 1 species
CCGUAGCUCAGCCGGAUCAGAGCGGCGGCCUUCUAAGCCGUAGGUCGGAGGUUCGAGUCCUCCCGG